CCGACCUUAGCUCAAUUGGAAGAGUGCAGGACUACAGUAGGCUAUUAGCUACUGGAAGAUCCUUUGGUUGCUGGUUCGAAUCCGGCAGGUCGGG
rnacentral:tRNA from 1 species